rnacentral:rRNA from 1 species
AUUGAACGCUGGCGGCAGGCCUAACACAUGCAAGUCGAACGAGUGGCGGACGGGUGAGUAAUGUAUGGGAAACUGCCCGAUGGAGGGGGAUAACUACUGGAAACGGUAGCUAAUACCGCAUACCAUCGGAUGUGCCCAGAUGGGGUUAGCUUGUAGGUGAGGUAACGGCGCACCUAGGCGGCGAUCCCUAUCUGGUCUGAGAGGAUGACCAACGACACUGGAACUGUGACACGGGCGCGACUCCUUCGGGAGGCAUCAGUGGGGAUGAUUGCACAAUUGUCGCACGCCUGAGGCAGCCGUUCCGCUGGUAUGAAGAAGGCCUUCGUGUUCUAAAGUACUUUCAGCGGGGAGGCGUUACCCGCAGAAGACUCACCGUCUAACGCCGUGCCAGCAGCCGCGGUAAGAC